GCCCCUAUGUUCUAUUUUUAGCCGUGGCGGCCAUCUUGGUUGGUUGACCGGGUCACGCCACACAUUUUUUAAACUAGAUACCCCAAAGAUGAUUGUGGCCAUGUUUGGAUUAAUUUGGCUCAGUAGUUUCAGAGGAGAAGAUUUUUGUAGAAGAUUACUUAGAUUUAUGAAAAAUGGUUAAAAAUUGACUAUAAAGGGCAAUAACUCCUAAAGGGGUCAACUGACCAUUUCGGUCAUGUUGACUUAUUUGUAAAUCUAACUUUGCUGAACAUUAUUACUGUUUACAGUUUAUCUCUAUCUAUAAUAAUAUUCAAGAUAAUAACCAAAAACAGCAAAAUUUCCUCAAAAUUACCAAUUCAGGGGCAGCAACCCAACAACAGGUUAACCGAUUCAUCUGAAAAUUUCAGGGCAAAUAGAUCUUGACCUGAUAAACAUUUUUACCCCGUCAGAUUUCCUCUAAAUGCUUUGGUUUUUGAGUUAUAAGCCAAAAACUGCAUUUUACCCCUAUGUUCUAUUUUUAGCCGUGGCGGCCAUCUUGGUUGGAUGACCGGGUCACGCCACACAUUUUUUAAACUAGAUACUCCAAUGAUGAUUGUGGCCAAGUUUGGUUUGAUUUGGCCCAGUAGUUUCAGAGGAGAAGAUUUUUGUAAAAGCUAACGCCGGACGACGACGGACGCCGGACGCCAAGUGAUGAGAAAAGCUCACUUGGCCCUUUGGGCCAGGUGAGCUAAAAAAUUAAUAUGUCACUCAGCAUUAUGACAUAGCUCUGAUUAAUGCAACAAUGCAUUAAAAUGAAAACUCGCGGAAUGAAUAGUACAUAAUGGUACCUUGACAAAUGAAACAGUGCAUCAUGAAGAAGUCUUCGGGAAUGAAACAGUGCGCUACAAUGACUGCUUGACGAAUUCGUUGAACUACGUCCACUAUUCUCUAUAGUCACAAUCUAACACAUUGUGAGUUAGUUAUAUCAGUAACAACUGCAUAUAGUAGAAUAAUUAUUGGAACAUAUCAUUAAUACGUAUUGUCAGCAUACAUUUAAUGUACUAAUGGAAAUGAAAAUGGAAGAUAACAAAA
rnacentral:lncRNA from 1 species